AUGGGGAGGAAACGUCAGUUGUGCCUUAUUUACGUUGGGGAAGGAUCGUCGCAUGCACGACAAUGGGUGGAGGCAGCUGAUGAGGAAGCCCACAUUUCUGAGGACGCAAGACCGGUGGCAACACUGGUGGCAAGUGACGAUGAGACACAGGCUCCAAGUAUUGUUCAUGUCUUCGAAUGUAAGGUUUGAUGUUUAUUAUUGGAUGGUUGGAUCAGUUUUAAAAGAUAUAAGAAUUAAUUGGGUUCACAUCUUUUUAAUAUUGUAGGAUUCAUGUUUUGCAAUUUCAAUUAUGAGUUACUGGUUUACAAAAACAAAUAAUAUAAUUAAAAUAUGUAAAUAUAUUCAAUAUAUGCUGUUGACUUCUGUCCGUUUAGUCCAUUCAUUUCCCUUGGGUUCAAUUUGGUCUAUUUGGUUCAAUUUGGUUUGCUUAGUCCAUUUCGGUCCAACAGUGUCUGCUUCGUCCUUUAGGUCCACUAUGGUCCAUUCGACCACUUCGGACCAAUUUCAUCCUCUUUGGUCCACUCUGUCCACUUUGGUCCAUGUCAGUGCACUUAAGAAUGGUCAAAGCUAAGUUUGGGUGGAAAUUAUAUAUUCUAAAUCCAAAUUUAUUAAGAAAAAAUGAAGGCAACCCAAACAAAGCAUGCUUGCUCAUCUUUUCAAAAACUAGGUAAGUGCAUGCUUCUUUAAAGAUGCAAAAUUAACCUAAAUCACAAUAAAAUCACAAAAUUGCAUGAUAGAAGAGUUAUCAUAAUUUCAUUUUCCUUUUAAACAAAAUAAGUGCCAAGACAUAGUUUUGGUUAAGUGCUCUUCCAAAUUUGUAGGCCAAGUUACAACCUUUCUAUGUGUAACGAAAUGUGUGGAUUGCCAAUAUAAUGGGUGAACAAGUUGACUGGUCGAUUACUCAUAGUGCUAAUAGGCAUCUAGGUUCAUUAGUCAUAGUACGAAGAAGUCCCAUACAUUUAUGUUGUUCCUAAAUGAUAUAUAAUUACACUUGCAAAACUUGAGGGUUACAUGAAUGCGUGGGAGAAAGGCCUAAAUUUACUCAUGUUUUGUUUAAAUGAAAUCGUAAACUUUUUAUUAUUUACAUUUUUCGGGGCAAAUUUUUGCGUGGUGAUAGUUUUCAGUAGUUGUGAGCUUUCUUAAAUCAGUCCUAAUAUUGGUGGCUUUGUAGAUACAGAUGAUUAUGUUCAAACCUCAGCACUAGUACAAAUCCGGAACCUGUACAAAAUCCAGAACCGGUACAAAAUCCAGCACCGGGAAAUAGGCCUAGAAGACGUGGGAAAACACGGUUGGGUGACAUAUGGGCAAUGACUGGUGAGUACAAAAUCGACUUGCCAUUAAAUGCUGAGGGCCAAUCGAUUGGGGAAGACGGGUCUUUGUUCAUUCGGUGGUUGGGCUCAUUUUGUGAUAAUGGCAUGUUAUGCCCGCUUACGCUUGUUGAUUGGCCAAGCGUCCCUUAA
rnacentral:sRNA from 1 species